UAGAGUUUGAUCAUGGCUCAGGAUGAACGCUAGCGGGAGGCCUAACACAUGCAAGCCGAGCGGUAUUGUUUCUUCGGAAAUGAGAGAGCGGCGUACGGGUGCGGAACACGUGUGCAACCUGCCUUUAUCUGGGGGAUAGCCUUUCGAAAGGAAGAUUAAUACUCCAUAACAUAUUGAACGGCAUCGUUUAAUAUUGAAAGCUCAGGCGGAUAGAGAUGGGCACGCGCAAGAUUAGCUAGUUGGUGAGGUAACGGCUCACCAAGGCAAUGAUCUUUAGGGGGCCUGAGAGGGUGAUCCCCCACACUGGUACUGAGACACGGACCAGACUCCUACGGGAGGCAGCAGUGAGGAAUAUUGGUCAAUGGGUGCAAGCCUGAACCAGCCAUCCCGCGUGAAGGACGACUGCCCUAUGGGUUGUAAACUUCUUUUGUAUAGGGAUAAACCUUUCCACGUGUGGAAAGCUGAAGGUACUAUACGAAUAAGCACCGGCUAACUCCGUGCCAGCAGCCGCGGUAAUA
rnacentral:rRNA from 1 species